GCAAAGAUCGAUAAACAAUUCAAAAGAACUCAAGGAACUCAAAGAGCUCCGUUCUAAAAACAAAGUAUUUCCUUAAAAUUUUAACGUAUAAGCAUGGCUUACAACUUGAUUGAUGAUGUACUUAAAAGAUUUAAAACCGAUAAUCUUGUCAAUUUAAAUACUUUUUAUGAAACUUUAUUGGAUACAUUUAUUUACAACAAUAACAAAAUGGUUAGUAACGAAGGUCUUUUAAGUCGUUUUAUUGAUGGCACAAUAAGAAGAAAUAUAUGUGCCGAAGUUUGUAUCCCUUCUUACUUAAAAGACAAUAAAAUGCAUUGUAUUGCUCUAAGGUCUGAAGCAUCUGGAAGUUGUAUGUAUAGCUCUGCAUCAUUAUUUUUUGUUGCUGACAAUACACUGAUGGAUGUGUUAAGAGUUUUAACAUCCCUUGAAAUUUAUAUACAGAAUAAAAGAAUGCUGUGUUUUUAAUUGUUCAAUUAAUGUUAAAGGUCAUCCGAACUUGAGUUUUUAUAUUUUGCCUGCUGAUCCAAAGAGAAGAAAAUUGUGGCUUUAUGCUAUAUAUAGAAUUGAUUCAUCUUGAAAAAAUAAACUUUGGUCGCAAAACAUGUCUAAGUAUGCUCAAAACAUUUUGUAUCUGGAAAAAAAGAACAUUGUCAAGAUGCUUUUCAAAAUUAACACAUUUACUGAUAGAACUAUGUUCUAUCAGUAAAUAUGUUAGGUACUAAAAAAAUAUAUAGUGAAAUCAUCCCUCCAACAUAAUUGUUGUCGCGAAAUGAAAGGAGAAUAAAUAGAUUAAACAAUUCACUUGAAUAUUGUGUACAAAAAAGUCAUUGUAAUAAAUCUCAAGUUAUUGAAGUCAGUAAACAAAUAAGUACUGACAUUUCGUUGACUGGAGUGGAGGAUGUUAGUGUCUUGAACCAACACAAAACAACAAGUGAACUUAGAUGAGAAUGACGGUAGUUUAAAAAUAAUACAGAGUUGGCUAGCAGUUUGAAACAGCCUAACUUUUUGUUAACCAAACUAGUAUCAAGCACUAUAUGAAAGAUUUGAAGAUUUAUAAAGGUUGGUAAAUACCUUGUUUUGAUUACCUUUUUACCACUAUUGACUAAUAAUAGAAGUCACUCUGUAUAAGAAUAUUUUAACAAAAAAUUCUCCAAGUAAUCAAAAAUGCUUUUUUAAAAAAAUGAUUAAUUUGGGAAAAGGGGGGGAUAGCCCCUCUCUUUUGAGAAUGGAUGCAACACUGAUGUAACUUUUACCGGGUAAGAUAUAUUUUUUACUUCUUUGUUGUUGUUCUUUAAAUAACCAAUCAAAUAUUUCAUAAUUAAAAUUUUUUUGCGAUAUUAGGGUGGUUAAAACAUGGUCAACACAUUUAACAUGAGUUUUACACUUACCUUCAAUGUUUGGUGGUUGUCCAGUAUUAAUUUAUAGAACCUUUUUUAUACAGAAAAAAACUUUGUUUUGGAACUUUAGGAAACAGUAGUUGUGUCAUUUUAAUUUUUUUUAAUUUUUUUUUUUUAGGUUGGGGAGGGGGGGUUAUUUUCCCCUCCCAUACAUCGAUGUAAACACGACUUAAAUUCGUAAUAGUAACACCACGUAAAUUCUUGCAGAACAUAAUUUUAUAUUGUAUACUAAUUGAAUUCAUUUUAGUAAAGAUAAAAAUAUUUAUAAAAA
rnacentral:lncRNA from 1 species